rnacentral:rRNA from 1 species
AUUGAACGCUGGCGGCAGGCCUAACACAUGCAAGUCGAGCGGAGUGGCGGACGGGCGAGUAAUGUCUAGGAAUCUGCCUGGUAGUGGGUGAUAACGUCCGGACACGGGCGCUAAUACUGCAUACUAUUAGAUGAGCCUAGGUCGGAUUAGCCAGUGGGUGGGGUAAAGGCCUACCAAGGCGACGAUCCGUAACUGGGCUGAGAGGAUGAUCAGUCACACUGGAACUGAGACACGGUCCCGACUCCUACGGAAGGCAGCAGUGGGGAAUAUUGGACAAGGGGCGAAAGCCUGAUCCAGCCAUGCCGCGUGGGUGAAGAAGGUCUUCGGAUUGUAAAGCACUUUAAGUUGGGAGGCGUUACCAACAGAAUAAGCACCGGCUAACGUCGUGCCAGCAGCCGCGGUAAUAC